rnacentral:lncRNA from 1 species
CCACAUUGUAUAAAUUCAAGAAUGUAGAUGGGUUCAUAAGUAUGGUAUAGCCUCAACCUAAUAGGUUAACCUUUUAGGUAAGGAGGUGGUCCAACAUUCUUAUUGGGCCGGUCUACACAGGUGCGCGCUGCAGUGAUGAUGGAUUGAUGUGGGAUGGAUCCUACAAUUCUGCUACACAAAGAAAUAGUCUUCUGCAGCAUUGUCUACAAUUGAGGCAAAAUAUAUUACCAUUGAGAAAGUUAUUUUGCAAUUCAUUUGGACCCAUAUUCCAUUCCGAUCCAAAUCGAAAAGUUCUUUUCUCAUCUUUUAG